UACGUAGGUGGCGAGCGUUGUCCGGAAUUAUUGGGCGUAAAGGGCACGCAGGCGGUUCAAUAAGUCUGAUGUGAAAGGCUGUGGCUCAACCACAGAAUGGCAUUGGAAACUGUUGAACUUGAGUGCAGAAGAGGAGAGUGGAAUUCCACGUGUAGCGGUGAAAUGCGUAGAGAUGUGGAGGAACACCAGUGGCGAAGGCGACUCUCUGGUCUGUAACUGACGCUGAGGUGCGAAAGCGUGGGGAGCGAACAGG
rnacentral:rRNA from 1 species